rnacentral:rRNA from 1 species
CCCAGACUCCUACGGGAGGCAGCAGUGGGGAAUAUUGCACAAUGGGCGAAAGCCUGAUGCAGCGACGCCGCGUGAGUGAAGAAGUAUUUCGGUAUGUAAAGCUCUAUCAGCAGGGAAGAAAAUGACGGUACCUGACUAAGAAGCCCCGGCUAACUACGUGCCAGCAGCCGCGGUAAUACGUAGGGGGCAAGCGUUAUCCGGAUUUACUGGGUGUAAAGGGAGCGUAGACGGCGAAGCAAGUCUGAAGUGAAAACCCAGGGCUCAACCCUGGGACUGCUUUGGAAACUGUCAGGCUGGAGUACAGGAGAGGUAAGCGGAAUUCCUAGUGUAGCGGUGAAAUGCGUAGAUAUUAGGAGGAACACCAGUGGCGAAGGCGGCUUACUGGACUGUAACUGACACUGAGGCACGAAAGCGUGGGGAGCAAACAGGAUUAGAUACCCUGGUAA